UGUUGAACUGUGAAGAAGUUCUACCGUUCGAAAGGAUUUUUGAUGAUCAGGUAUUCAAUACGUACGGUGAUGUGAAUGAUGAUCAAUUAAGCCAGAUUAAAGAGAACGGAUUCGCAACCUGGUUAAAAGAAUUUAUUGAAUCAUCGCAAGAAGAUCAUCCAUUGUGGUUA